AAAAGGUGCAAUUUUGCACUGUUCGUAUCCAACGUUUGACCAUUCGUCUUAUUUGAACUUUUUAUGAUUAGCAUUUUUGUUGUUAUUCGAUGAUAAAACAUAAAUAGUACUUUAUGUGUGACUAUUUUUUUAAAAAAAAAAUUGAUAAUUUUUUCAAAUAAGACGGACGGUUAAACAUUGGACACGAAUAUCCACGGCUGUGCUUAUU
rfam:Oryza rufipogon genomic scaffold, chr05